GGUAAAAUGGCCGAUAAAGGUGAUAAAUUGUAAAUUUAUUAAUGAAUUCUUCUUUUACUAU
rnacentral:tRNA from 1 species